GAGUCUCACGUGGGGUGACUGGAAGUGAAACUGCUGCUUAGAAGCUUUGACUUUGGGUUGAAAACAUCACCUACUUCCUCACAGACUCUCAAGAAAAAAGGGGUGCCCAAAAGCAUUCAUGCUUAUGUGCCCAAAGAAGUGAAGAUAUGCUUAGGUGCAACCAUCUGGAGCUGAGAUAUAUGACACUAGCACGAGUGAAUAUUGAAGACCAAUCUGCUGGUGAUUGAAAGAUGAAGAAAG
rnacentral:lncRNA from 1 species